rnacentral:lncRNA from 1 species
AUGGUAUCUAUUACCCAUGAGAGACGUCUUCAUCAUAGCUUCACUGGGUUAUUAUAUAGCAGGAUUAAAUCUGUGGCCACAAGUUUUCUGAAGACACCAAUAAUCUCAUUAAAGACUAUGAGGACGCCCAAUGAUUUGCAGCUGUGGAUGAAUCUCUGCGUGAGGAAACUCAGUAGACCAAGCAUUAUGAUUCCUCAGACAACUUCUGGGAAGGUAAUAAUUUAAGAAUUUUUAUACCAUCCUUAUGGAAAAUUAUACAUAAGGAAAAAAAUUUCUUCUAAAAUAAUUUUUAAAACUCAGUUUCUAACAGUUCGGGAGUUCCUCAAAAAGCUAAAAACAGAAUUGUCAUAUGACUUAACAGUUCAACUCCUCAGCAUAUAUCCAAAAAGAUUGAAAACAGAGGAACAGACACUAGUACACACAGUACAUCAUAUAAUUCACAAUAACCAAAAGGUGAAAACAAUCCAAAUAUCCAUCAACAAAUGAGUGUAUAAACAAAGUGUGGCAUAUACUACAAUGAAUGAAAAACUAUUCAUCCUGAAAAAAAAUGAGGUUCUGAUACAUGCUACGACAUGACAAACCUUGAAAACAUUAUGCUAAUGAAAUAAGCCAGACACACAAAAGGAUAAAUAGCAUAAGAUUCCACUUAGAUGAAAUAUAAAGAAUAGGCAAAUUGAUAGAAACAGAAAGUAGAUUUGAAUUUUUCAAGAGUUGAAGAAGAGGAAAAUGGGGAGUUAUAACAAUGCUUACAGUUUCUAUUUGAACUCAUCGAAAAGUUUGGAAAGAGCGAUGAUGCUUGUGAAUGUAAUUAAUGGCAC